rnacentral:rRNA from 1 species
GUUAUAGUUUACUUGAUAGUCAAUCGUUAUACGGAUAACUGCGGUAAUUCUGGAGCUAAUACGUGCACAAAGACCUGACUUCAAGGAAAGGUCGUGUUCAUUAGAUACAGAACCAAUCCCUUCGGGGUUUUUGGAUGAUUCAUAAUGAAGGAACGGAGCGUACGACUUGUGUCGACGCUGUUUCAUUCAAGUUUCUGACCUAUCAGCUUCCGACGGNAGGGUAUUGGCCUACCGUGGCAUUGACGGGUAACGGAGAAUUAGGGUUCGAUUCCGGAGAGGGAGCCUUAAAAACGGCUACCACAUCUAAGGAAGGCAGCAGGCGCGCAAAUUACCCAAUCCUGAUACAGGGAGGUAGUGACAAGAAAUAACACAGAGAGCGCUUAUUGCGUUUCUCUUUGGAAUGAGUAGAAUUUAAAUCUCUUUUCGACUAUCAAUU